ACAGCAGCCCACGGAAGAACCGGCGGACCUUUAGCGGAUCGCCACGUCAGGAGGAGCCGAACACGGAUCCAGAUGUUCGGGAGGUUAUUCCCAUGAGCCGAAUUAUCCACAGAGGUUUCUUCUUCUCCAGAACAAACAGACCAGGUGACUUCAAUCUGCAAAAACACUGAAUGAAGCAUUUUCAAGUUAAGAAAUCAAUGUUGGGGCUGCAAACUACUGUGGCUGAAGUGAAAACUCAAACGUCCAGCCAGCGUUUGGUUUGUCGUUGACGAGGACCUGCUCCCCGUAUACACAUAAACAGCUUAUUCUAAGGUAACAAACACAUGUCAAAAUCUUAUUUUCAGGUUAUUAUACAUGAAUCAAAACAGACUUAUUACAGUAUUUUCCAUUUUCAUGACAACAGAUCCCCCUAAAUCCUACACAUUGGACCUUUAAAUGACACAAUCAACAACAGGCAGGAAAAGUAAAUAUGGAAACACAACUGUUUAUUUACUUAAAAUAUCGGUAUGAACUAACAGGACAGCAAUACUCCCCUACACAUACAUUCUAGCUUUAUGCUUCUUUUUUGCAUUAAUUCCUUUAUAUAUAAAAAGUAUCCAAACUAACAAAGACAUCCUCUUCGAUCAGUUCACAUGAAACAGACAACCCCUUUUAACCCUUUCCCCUUCCCGUCCCCUUAAAACUUAAAAAAAAAAAAAAAGCUUCCUGGUGGCUCACAUGCAGCCACUUCACACACACACACGCACACACACACGCACGCACACGCUGUGACCUUCAACCUCUGACCAAACAGAGUGACGCUCGGUCAGAAGCCACAAACAAAACUCUGCCACACGUUAGCACAUUUAGCCGGCGGUGAAUGUGUGUGUACAUGAGCUCCAAAGCGCAGUGAAGUAAGAGGGCUGAUCUGAACCGCCGAAUCAAAACGUCUCGCUAAAGAUCAUCUUCAUUCGUGCUUAUAAACCAGUGACUCGCUUUUAAGGCCCCUUUUGAAAUGAUUAGAGGUUGAACUUACAGGGUUAACAACCUGACUAGCAAUAUAAGAUCAGCUUUUACCCUAACAGACGUGAUAAAUGCAGAUAGUGAGGGUGAUCUGAUGAAGAGACGCGAUAACAGAAGAAUAAGUCUGAUGUUUACUUGGCUGCAGUCCCAUGUUGACUGUAUUUCAAUGGGAAAAUCAGGGCGAUCGUUGCAAAUUCAAAAUAUGUGCGUUAAAUGUGGCACACAUUUUGGAUUCUCAAGUACUGCGCUUUUGUAAACAUUAUGAAUUGAGCUCAAAGGUUUGAAAAAAACGGGUCUAAAAUCUUGUUUCGACUCAUGAUAAUCUGUGCACAUAUAUAAAUAUGAUCUGAGAAAGAAAAACACUUCAAACGCUUUAUGCGCCCACUAAGAGUUUAUCUUAAAUUAUGUUUGCUCACGAAAUUUGUGGCCGUAGAUCAUAAGCUUCCUAGCUUUAAACGGUAAAUUUUGGUAAUUUUCAGUCUAUUUUUCCAAUGUUUCUGUGUCUAAGAAACUAAAAAC